UCGUGCCAAGUGACAGUUUUUCCCAAAUUUGGAUGCGUUGCUGAAGCGCAAUGUUCUACUCCAGUUUUAACGAGAAACGCAAAAGAUUCGAAAAUGAUCCGAAGAGAUCUUCCCUGGAGAGGCGAAGGAAGGCCCUCUUCGCCUCACUUGAGUCUUUAGAUUUCGAUCACGAUAUGGCGACGGAUUUUUCAACGGAAAACACAAACGGCACCGAUAUUACAACGACAAUGAUGAAUUUGAAAAACAAUUUGGCACCGAGAGGCGUAACCGUUUCCACAACAUCUCAGUUACAGUCAAAUUCUCACACCAGUACGACUACAACUCGAGUUGCCAAAUCAUCGGUAUCAUCCUCAUCGACCACAUCGAGUUCCCAAAGGGUUCACCUAACAUCGACGUCAUCGACAGACCGCAAAGCCUCAUCAAUGAAAUCGGACUUGAACGAGCUCAAAAACAACAUGAACGAAAUGAAGAACCUAUCGAACAUCAACGCCCUGAAGAAACUACGAAGCUCUUUGGAAAAUUUGGUCGACGUCGAAGAUAACGACAUGACGCAACCGUUAGUUUCCUUUCCCGAUUCGGACACGCCACCACCGUCAUCCGAGUUAGCGUCACCGACAUCGAAUCUGGACACCGUCAAAUUCGAACAGAAGACCGUCAAUAACUUCAAAGCGAGCAAGGUGGUUAAAGAUGGAUUCAGUGCCGAAAAAGCUAGUGCCAAUUGUGCCGAAGUCAAAAGGAUGCAGGCCGGAGAACUGUCAUACCAAGAAAACAGUGCUGCUGCAGCAUCGCACGCUCGUCUGGAAAUCGACGGCGUUUCGGCCGAGAAAAGCCAUCUUCAUGCAAAGGAGGCCAGAUCGUUGAAGUCGGGCGAACUGAGUCAACAGGAAUCGAAAAAUAUGGCGCACACAUCGAUGAAAGUGACAACGGACAGCUUCAGCCACGAGAAAACCGCGAUGGAAGCGCAACAGCAAAGACAAACGGUAACGAGUAGUGGAAUGUACAAUCAAGAAAAACACACCUCAUCUUCACAAUCAAAUAUCACAUACACCACAUCUAAAGGAAUACAUACUUCAUCCAGUUCCAUGUUGCAGUCUGCUGCAUCACAGUUUCAGCUGAUGAACGGUACCAGCAUCAAGCCAGACGAAGACCUAAUGAACAUGUCCUUUGAAGAUCUAGACCAGUUGUCGUCCACCACAAAUCAGCAAGACGUCGAAAGGGCCAUUUACAAAUAUUCCACAUACCUGGAUCUGUCGAUAAAAAAUUUGCAAAAAAAUAGUCUGGGCAAAAAGUCACCCGCAAUACUAAACAGAAUAAACGACGUAAUCCACAAGGCAUGGGCGGUACCAACGUACGGCCACGAGCUCGGAUACUCCCUCUGUAACACCUUGCGGAAUUGCGGGGGCUUAGACUUAAUUAUGACCAACUGUAUUACUUCGGACGAAGAUUUGCAAUUUUCUAGCGCUCGAUUGUUGGAGCAAUGUUUGACUACUGAAAAUAGGGCUCAUGUUGUUUCGCAUGGACUGGAUAAGGUGGUCAACGUGGCUUGCAUGUGUACGCGGCACUCGAACUCAGUUGCGCAUGCGCGUGUGGGGACCGGAAUAUUAGAACAUUUAUUUAAACACAGUGAGGAAACGUGUAGUGAUGUGAUUAGACUCGGUGGUUUAGAUGCGUUGCUGUUCGAAUGUCGAAAAAGUGAUGUGGAAACCUUAAGGCACUGUGCCGGAGCUCUUGCCAACUUGAGUUUGUACGGUGGCGCUGAGAACCAGGAAGCUAUGAUCAAACGAAAAGUACCUAUGUGGUUAUUCCCUCUUGCCUUUCACACCGACGAUAACAUAAAAUAUUACGCUUGCCUAGCAAUAACCGUUUUAGUUGCGAAUGCCGAAAUCGAAUCCGAAGUAUUACAGUCGGGCACCUUGGGCCUGGUCGAACCGUUCGUCACCACCCACAACCCCUCGGAAUUUGCACGAUCGAAUCUGGCGCACGCCCACGGCCAGAGCAAAACGUGGCUCAAACAUUUGGUGCCAGUUUUGAGUUCCAAGCGUGAGGAGGCGAGGAAUCUGGCCGCUUUCCACUUCUGCAUGGAGGCGGGAAUCAAAAAACAGCAGGGCAACACAAAUAUCUUCGCCGAAAUUGGCGCGAUCGAAUCGUUGAAGAGGGUGGCCAGUUGUCCUAACGCGGUUGCGUCCAAGUACGCCGCCCAAGCGCUUCGACUGAUAGGCGAAGAAGUGCCGCACAAACUAAGCCAACAAGUUCCUUUAUGGUCCACUGAAGACGUCGAGGAGUGGGUCAAACAGAUCGGUUUUAACGAAUACACCAAUAGCUUCGUGGAGAGUCGAGUUGACGGUGAUCUUCUACUGCAAAUAACCGAAGAGAAUCUUCGGGAUGAUAUAGGAUUAACGAACGGAAUUAAACGAAAGCGAUUUACGCGCGAGUUAGAAAACUUGAAGAAAAUGGCGGACUACAGUUCGCGAGAUGCGGCAAACAUUAAUAGCUUUAUGCAGUCGUUAGGACAAGAGUUUAGUAUAUACACGUACGGCAUGUUAAAUGCGGGUAUCGAAACGAAAGAAUCUCUAAGGAAUUUAUCCGAGGAUCAAUUGCUUAGGGAGUGUAGCAUAGUAAAUUCCAUACAUAGGCUAAGGAUAAUGGAGGCGAUUCGUGCGUUAGAGAACGGUUUAUCGUAUUUGAACGACGAUAGUAUGGAUAAAUCGUUGGACGUUUUCGUUAGCUAUAGGCGAUCGAACGGUUCUCAGUUAGCGAGUUUACUAAAAGUUCACUUGCAAUUAAGAGGAUUUAGUGUAUUCAUCGACGUCGAGAGGUUGGAGGCGGGAAAGUUCGACAACAAUUUGUUGCAAAGUAUACAAAAGGCCAAGCACUUCCUUCUAGUUUUAACUCCAAAUGCCUUGGAAAGGUGUAUCGGUGAUGGCGACAGAAAAGAUUGGGUACAUCGAGAAAUCGUUGCGGCCUUACAGUCCCAGUGUAACAUUAUUCCUAUUAUCGACAAUUUCCAAUGGCCCGAGGCCGAAGAAUUACCCGAGGAUAUGCGACAAGUGUGCCAUUUCAAUGGUGUUCGGUGGAUACACGAUUAUCAAGACGCCUGUGUGGACAAACUUGAAAGGUUCAUGCGAGGCGAGAUCAAUACCAGAACUGAUCUGCACUGUGGGCGUGUCGCUAUGAAUAAGGGCGACAUAACACCUGGCACUCCUUCGAAUCCAUCGUUAGUUCGUCAACCUCCCAACUAUCAACGAAUGCACAGCAACGACUCGGGUAGCGGAAAAGGAUCUGAUAAAGAUGUCAACGGGAAUUCGGGAUUGUCUAGGGAUUGACUAGAUGGUCCCCCAGCCUCGGUUACAACCUCCCCAUUGCCUAGGUAGUUUCUGGAAUCAGAUUUUAUAAAUCUUCAAGUCCAUCUCGGAAUUGGAUGAUGGGUUCUGGUAAAUACCCCCGCGGUCUGCCGCCCCAAUAUCCGAUCUCGCUUCGUCGAGGUUCGAAUUCGCCGGUGUCGCCGGCGUCCAUGGACAGUCCUUCGCCGGUUCCGAACAGAUCUCGAAGUUUGGAUGGACUACUCGAUAACGAGCCUUUGGAAAUUGUGUCGUCGACAGCUUCAGAAGCGACUCCGUCCGAAAUAUCGCAAAAAUCGCAAAGUUGUGAUAGUAACUUAGACAUGAAAAUCUCAGAUGAAACUAUUCAUGUAGAUAAAGAGACUGAAAAAUUAAAUAAUAGAAAUAGUAGCAUAAGUAAUACGAGUAGUAGAACGCAAAAUUUCGAGAGCAGCCUGGAAGGGUCACUGGAUUCGAACGAAAUUAGUAAAUCGUCCAACCUAAGUUUACAUAGUAACUCGAGUGAUAAUUCGAAACAGAAACGGAAAUUUGUAAAUCGGUGCGUUAAUAAAGUGCGAUCUCUUAUUAAGAAAUAGUUUAAUA